GCGAGGAACUUGGCGCCGAUAAUGAUCGGGAAUAAGCAGGGAGCCGAAGCUGCGGGAACCGAAAGGUUCGGUAGGAGAGCGUUGCUGGUGCGGUGAAGCGUUCCCGGAAGGGGUCGUGGAGCGCCAGCAAGUGAAUAUGCCGGCUUAAGUAACGAUAAAUAAGGUGAGAAUCCUUAUCGCCAUAAACCCAAGGUUUCCUGGGGAAGGUAAAUCCGCCCAGGGUUAGCCGGGACCUAAGGCAAGGCCGAAAGGCGUAGUCGAUGGACAUCAGGUUAAUAUUCCUGAGCUGUCGUCGGGAACGGAUCUCUGAGCUCCGCGGGACUGUCAGAUGUCCAGGCCCUAGUGGCCGAUGCGGGGGGAUGGGGUUCCUAGAAAAGCCGACGACGAACCCGUACCAAAACUGACACAGGUGGGUGAGGCGAAUAGCCUAAGGCGCUCGAGAGAACGGUCGUGAAGGAACUAGGCAAUUUAACCCCGUAACUUCGGGAUAAGGGGGGCCUACCCGUAAGGGAGGCCGCAGAGAAAAGGGUCU
rnacentral:rRNA from 1 species